UACCAGUGAGGCUGGUCUGGCUCUCUCCAUGGCCCCAAGCAGAGAGCGGCGAAGAGGACCCUCUAGAUAGGUCUCGAAUGCUGGCGCUUUGGGAACUGAAGAACACAGCGCCUGGAGCCCUGGGAAGGAAGACGCUGCUGCUUGAGAUCCCCUCUUCAUGCCCCCUCAAGAGUGGGAGUGUUCAAGAGGAAGCAACUUCUAAGCUAAGAGGAGAAGAGGCAUGUUAAGUGAAAUGUCUUCUCUGUGAAAAGAAACACACAGAAACACACUCCAAAGUGUGACCCAGAAGAAUGCCGGAAGGAGGAACUCCAGCUGGGAGCGGUGGCUGACACCGUGGCCUGAACUUGGAUCUCUUGAGCUCCAUCUUUCUUGGGAGAGAAGAAAACCUUGCCUCUGAUUUUUGUUGUCACCGCUGUGCUGGCUCCCAAGAGCACAAGAUCACUCCUUUCAGGUUCUAGUGCUGGUUCUCUAGAGCAGAGAUAGGCUGCCAUCUUUAAAAGUAACUCUACCUUAAGAACGGUAGGGAGGUUCCUCAAAAAAUUAGAAAGAGAACUACCAGCAAUUCCACUUCUGAGUAUUUACCUGAAGGA